AGCAGGUGCUUUUACGGGGGACCACUGAGCAUCCCAGACACCAUGGCUGUUCCCCACCCGCCUCACAUCAUCCCUGGAAAUGCCAGCUCAGCCACGGCAGCAUGUGGCACCGCCCAGAGCAGGGGGCCCGCAGCCGAUGACAGACUAGCCGCCAGGUGGACAGGAAGAAGGAAGAACACCGCACCGUUCAACAGGCGCGAGCGAGCAGCCAGGCCACGAGGAGGGGCGAGUCAAUGACACACAAGCGUGUACAUCCGGACAAAUUCCCCCUGCAGUUCCGCACCCAGGCCUCACUGGGCCUGCCCCUGCUUUUCGGCAGUGACACGGCGCGGACUCCAACUGCGGGCGAUUCAAACUGCGGGCAAGGCGCUGUGAGAAUCCAUCCCGGGUCCACGUGUGCUUGCAAAUGCAUCCCGACACAGGUUACCUUACAAAGGCGUGUGAGGCUGAAAAUGGAAGACAGGCAUCCAGGCAGCAAUCAUACAGCCACCACAGAAGGAACCAGACGAGAGUUCCUUAUAAAUGUGAUUUAAAGAUU